CAGCAGCCGCGGUAAUACGUAGGUCCCGAGCGUUGUCCGGAUUUAUUGGGCGUAAAGCGAGCGCAGGCGGUUUGAUAAGUCUGAAGUUAAAGGCUGUGGCUCAACCAUAGUUCGCUUUGGAAACUGUCAAACUUGAGUGCAGAAGGGGAGAGUGGAAUUCCAUGUGUAGCGGUGAAAUGCGUAGAUAUAUGGAGGAACACCGGUGGCGAAAGCGGCUCUCUGGUCUGUAACUGACGCUGAGGCUCGAAAGCGUGGGGAGCGAACAGGAUUAGAUACCCGGGUAGUCCCUGUCUCUUAUACA
rnacentral:rRNA from 1 species